rnacentral:misc_RNA from 1 species
UUUAGUAUUUUGUAUAACACUUCCCUUACAUACAUAGGAUGUUUUUAAAAUAAUAGAACAGGCCUAAAUAAAAUUAGGCCUGUCCAACGGUGCACAAAGGUGUGUGGAUGUGAGAUGGUUUGGGACAUAAAGUCCCAGGGUAUUUCACUAAUGAUCCUUCCGCAGGUUCACCUACGGAAA